AUGGCCAAAGCCUAAGACUACCUCUUCAAGUUGCUGCUGAUCGGGGACUCAGGGGUGGGCGAGACUUGUCUGAUCAUUCGCUUUGCAGAGGACAACUUCAACAACACUUACAUCUCCACCAUCGGAAUUGAUUUCAAGAUUCGCACUGUGGAUAUAGAGGGGAAAAAGAUCAAACUGCAAGUCUGGGACACAGCUGGCCAAGAGCGAUUCAAGACAAUAGCUACUGCCUAUUACCGUGGAGCCAUGGGCAUUAUCCUAGUAUAUGAUAUCACAGAUGAGAAAUCCUUCAAGAAUAUUCAGAACUGGAUGAAGAGCAUCAAAGAGAAUGCCUCGGCUGGGGUAGAGCGCCUCUUACUGGGGAACAAGUGUGACAUGGAGGCCAAGAGGAAGGUGCAGAAGGAGCAGGCUGAUAAGUUGGCUCGGAAGCAUGGAAUCCGAUUUUUUGAGACAAGUGCUAAAUCCAUUAUGAAUGUAGAUGAGGCUUUCUGUUCCCUGGCACGGGACAUCUUACUCAAGUCAGGAGGCCGGAGAUUGAAAAACAACAAGCCCCCCAGCACUGACCUGAAAACUUGUGACAAGAAGAAUACCAACAAGUGCUCCUUGGGCUGACAACUCCUUUCUGCCUCUCCACCCUAAGCCUGGAGACUGAAUCUGAGGAAGGCAGGGCUGAGGGGCUGGGCAGGGGAGAAAUAGCAAAUGGGGCUUGGAGGGGUAGAGAUGGGUAGAUGGUAGAAGAAUGGGGAGAAUAUGGAGAAGAAAAAAAAGGAGAGAGAAGGAAAGAGGAAAAGAAAGGAAGCAGGACAGAGUGGGAAGGAGAGGCAAGAAAAAGGAAAAGAAUUGGGAAAGUGGAAGAAGGUGAGAAGUAGGAAGAGAGGGAGGAGGAAAGGAAGAUAGAUGGUCCUAGGCCUCAGGCCUUCUCUGGGUUUCCAGGGCAAAUAUAAAUGUAAAUAAAUAGUUGAUUUAUUCUGUUAUGGGAUCAGGCUUUAGGGUCCUGAGAGAGGCUGGCUCAGUACCACCCUCUGAAGGUUUGGUCCUAUGCUGUCACUCUGCAUGGUCUUUCUCAGUAUUAAAGGCCACCAUUUGCACCAAAAAAAAAAUUUUUUUUCAAAAAUAACAUGAAUAGUAAAUUAAAUAGAGGAAAACGGAUUCACCCUGGCAUGCUCUGGCAACCCCACAGGCAAAGGCUUGAAUCACAGCCUAUCUUGAGUCUUGGCGUAAUGUCUCAGGAGAACAGGAGAGGAUGGGAGGCUUGUGAGAAGCUCAAGGCAAUCUUCCCUGGGAGGCCCCACCUCAUCAGAAGAGUUGGCUGAAUAUAAAACCUCUUAGCUGAGUUUAGAAUUGGCUCCUCAGUGAUGGGGUUUCCCCUAUUUCAUGACACAGUCAUUUGGCCCUUUUUGUCUCAGUCUCAUUCAUUCUGUUGUGUCAGGCAAGAACCAUGGGAGCUGGCAUCUUUAGCUUAUUCUUCUACUCACUACAUAAGUAACUGUCUAAACAGAAAGUGGCUCAUUGUAUCCUUACAAGUUGAACCAUGCAGGCCUUGGCUUUGACUUGUGUGUGUGUGUGUGAGUCUGA